rnacentral:rRNA from 1 species
CACCGCCGCGGUAAUACGUAGGUGGCAAGCGUUGUCCGGAAUUAUUGGGCGUAAAGGGCUCGCAGGCGGUUUCUUAAGUCUGAUGUGAAAGCCCCCGGCUCAACCGGGGAGGGUCAUUGGAAACUGGGAAACUUGAGUGCAGAAGAGGAGAGUGGAAUUCCACGUGUAGCGGUGAAAUGCGUAGAGAUGUGGAGGAACACCAGUGGCGAAGGCGACUCUCUGGUCUGUAACUGACGCUGAGGAGCGAAAGCGUGGGGAGCGAACAGGAUUAGAGACCCCCGUAGUCCCUGUCUCUUAUACC